rnacentral:rRNA from 1 species
ACUGAACGCUGGCGGCAGGCCUAACACAUGCAAGUCGAGCGGAGCGGCGGACGGGUGAGUAAUUCCUAGGAAUCUGCCUGGUAGUGGGGGAUAACGUCAGGAAACGGGCGCUAAUACCGCAUACUAUCAGAUGAGCCUAGGUCGUAUUAGCUAGUUGGUGGGGCAAAGGCAUACCAAGGCGACGAUCCGUAACUGGUCUGAGCGGAUGAUCGGUCACACUGGAACUGAGACACGGUCCAGACUCCUACGGGAGGCAGCAGUAGGGAAUAUUGGACAAUGGGCGAAAGCCUGAUCCAGCCAUACCGCGUGUGUGAAGAAGGUCUUCGGAUUGUAAAGCACUUUAAGUUGGGAAGCGUUACCAACAGAGAAAGCACCGGCUAACUUCGUGCCAGCCGCCGCGGUAAUAC